GGGCCCGUAGCUCAGCUUGGAUAGAGCAUCGGCCUUCUAAGCCGGGGGUCCCGGGUUCGAAUCCCGGCGGGCCCG
rnacentral:tRNA from 1 species